rnacentral:misc_RNA from 1 species
CUCUCUCUCUCUCUCUCUUUCCUCAUGGGUUUAGUGAGGUUUUGGAUAUUGAAGAGGACCUAGUAUCUAAUAGAGAUGAAUGGUGAAAAUGGAUCCAUAUAGAUAACCCUAACUAGUUUGGGAUUAAAACCUAAUUGUUAUAGUAGAAUGCUACUGAGUUUGUAUACUUUCCCAUUUACACAUAAAAAGAAUAAUGAAAGCUAUAUAUAUGAUUCCCAGAUAGAGACUCUAUAGUCUACAAUGUGCAAGUUCAGGUGCAACUGACCAUCAUACAUAAUCUAACAUAGGCAUGUCUCAUAAUAAUUCCCAAGCAUGCAAGUACUAUUAAUUCACAUCUAG